rnacentral:rRNA from 1 species
UACGAAGGGGGCUAGCGUUGCUCGGAAUCACUGGGCGUAAAGCGCACGUAGGCGGCUUUUUAAGUCAGGGGUGAAAUCCUGGAGCUCAACUCCAGAACUGCCUUUGAUACUGAGAAGCUUGAGUCCGGGAGAGGUGAGUGGAACUGCGAGUGUAGAGGUGAAAUUCGUAGAUAUUCGCAAGCACACCAGUGGCGAGGGCGGCUCACUGGCCCGGUACUGACGCUGAGGUGCGAAAGCGUGGGGAGCAAACAGG